GCCUGCGUUGCACAGUGGUAGUGCGUAGCUUUCCUAUCUGUGAGGUUAUUUAGCCCCAUUUUCAGACAGGCUAAGGUCGUGGGUUCGAUCCCCACCGUGGGUU